rnacentral:rRNA from 1 species
GAGCAAAACAGCUAUGGGUCAAGUAGGAGCACUAGAGAAGUCUUAUUGUGAGGGCGAGUUAUAUAAAAAAGAACUGGCCGUCCCAUAUGAAAAGAUUAUAUUAGAAUUGAAUGAAGCUUUGUUUAUAUAUUGAUAAUGACAGUCCAUAUAGGGGUGUCUUGACUAAUUGCGUGCCAGCAGUCGCGGUAAUACGUAAGAGACUAGUGUUAUUCAUCUUAAUUAGGUUUAAAGGGUACCCAGACGGUCAAUAUAGCUUAUAAAAUGUUAGUACUUGACUAGAGUUUUAUGUAAGAGGGCAGUACUUGAGGAGGAGAGAUGAAAUUUCGUGAUACCAAAGGGACUCUGUAAAGGCGAAGGCAGCCCUCUAUGUAAAAACUGACGUUGAAGGACGAAGGCACAGAGAACAAACAGGAUUAGAUACCCAAGUAGUCUUUGCAGUAAAUGAUGAAUGCCAUAGGUUAGAUUGGUCAAUUAUAGUCUAGGGUUAGUCUAGCAAACUAAUGCCCUGUGCUAUAAUUCAAAAUAUCUGGUCUAUAAAUGAAAGUGUAAGCAUUUCACCUCAAGAGUAAUGUGGCAACGCAGGAACUGAAAUCACUAGACCGUUUCUGACACCAGUAGUGAAGUAUGUUAUUU